GCUGGGGAUAUAGCUCAGUUAGUAGAGUGCAUGCCUCACAUGCAUAAAGCCUGGGGUUCAAUCCCCAGCACCACAGUA
rnacentral:tRNA from 1 species